rnacentral:lncRNA from 1 species
AGUAUGGUUAGCACCGUCCCCUGACAUCUCAAACCUGUAACAUUCUGAGAUCUCACUUGUCUGUGACACAUUACCAUUUGUCAAAGAGCCUUAAGUUCCUCCUCUAAAGAAUUAGAUUUAAUUCAUUUCAAUAAAUGUUCUCCAUUGUAGCCUGGCACAGUAGAUGAAGGAAGGAAGGGAAAGGGAGGAAAUACACAUUUAUUAAGCACCUAUAUGCCAGACACUGUUCUAAGAACUUUAUAUUUGCUGCUCAUGAUCACUUUGGGAGGUAGAUAAUUUUGUUAUCCUCAUUUUACAGAUGAGGAAGUUGAGGCAGACAGCUGCUAAGUGACUUGCUCAGGGUCACACAGCUAGUACUCCUCUGAAGUUGGAUUUGAACUCAGGGCUUCCUGACUUCAAGCCAAGUGCCCUAGCUGCCUCACUUAGAAUCAGGCAUAGGUGGUUUAAGUUCUGUUCCAAUGUAUGCUAGCUAUGUGAAAAAUCCUUUUGAUUAUAAGUUUCUUCAGGGAAAGAACUGUUUUUCUUUUUAUUAAUUGUAUCCCAGCACUAUAAAUGUUUAUUAGAUUGGGUUGAUAUAGUUAAAUUAUUUACUCUCUUGAUGUCUACCAUAACUCUGUAAGGUUUCUAUAAAUUAGAGAAGAUAGUAAAUUUUAAUUAAUAGAGGGAAUCCUAUACUGGAAGUUCUCAGACUCUGAAGAAAAAAAAAAGAAACCCAUUCCCCCAAAUGAUAUAUUAAACACUUGCUAUCUUAAAACAUUAUGAUAGAUUCUGGGGACACAAAUUUAAAUAAGACACAGUACCUGCCCUCAAGGAGCUUCUAAUCUAAUAAAAAAAAUUUUUGAUUUCAGUCUUUUCAUAAGAAAGAAUACAAUAAAUGGAAAGAUGACAUCCAAGCAAAGUUCUAGGGUUAGUUCCUGUAGAAUAGGUGGAACCUAUAAGGAUGAAGAAGAAAAAAAGCUGAUCAGAGGAAAACUUUGACAAAAAGGGACUGUGACAAUAAUCAGGAAAAAUGAACCGGUAGUGAUCCUCAUGGUACUCAGGAGUUUGAAACAUGGAAACUUU